rnacentral:rRNA from 1 species
AGUGAACGCUGGCGGUAGGCCUAACACAUGCAAGUCGAACGGCAGCACAGGAGAGCUUGCUCUCUGGGUGGCGAGUGGCGGACGGGUGAGGAAUACAUCGGAAUCUACUUUUUCGUGGGGGAUAACGUAGGGAAACUUACGCUAAUACCGCAUACAACCUACGGGUGAAAGCAGGGGAUCUUCGGACCUUGCGCGAUUGAAUGAGCCGAUGUCGGAUUAGCUAGUUGGCGGGGUAAAGGCCCACCAAGGCGACGAUCCGUAGCUGGUCUGAGAGGAUGAUCGGCCACACGGGAAAUGAGACACGGCCCAGACUCCUGCGGGAGGCAGCAGUGGGGAAUAUUGGAAAAUGGGGAAAAGCUGGAUCCACCCAGACCGCGUGGGUAAAGAGGGCCUUCGGGUCGAAAGACCCUUUUGUUGGGAAAGAAAUCCAGCUGGUUAAUCCCCGGUUGGGAUGACGGUACCCAAAGAAUAAGCACCGGCUAACUUCGUGCCAGCAGCCGCGGUAA